rnacentral:rRNA from 1 species
AUGCACCGCGGAGACCUCGCGGUCUUGUGUACACACUUGCCUUUCCUAUUGAUCAAGGCUGGACUUUGUGUGGCCAACCGGAUAUAUAAAGCCUGUGCAAAUGUGAGAAGCCACAUCAGGAAUACCAAUACUCUGAGCAGUACUUCAGCUCCUACCUUGUACAUUUGUAGCCUCCAAGCAAACAGUCUGAAGCAUCUUCAUAGUUCAUACUAUAUCUCCUUACUUUCCUCUUCACAAGCAUAUGCACAAGGCCUAAUGGGCCCUGUUUUUGUCCUCCUGUUACUGAUUUGUGUCUGCAACUCCGAGGAUCGCCUAACACCUGCAAAGCCACACUCCGUCGGCGACAGGCUCAUCUCAAAUGGUGGCAUCUUUGCUCUUGGCUUCUUCUCCCCGAAAAACUCAAGUGCAAACUCAUAUGUUGGCAUAUGGUACCACAACAUCCCCGAGCGAACAUAUGUGUGGGUCGCAAACCGCGACAGCCCAAUCACUGGCAGCUCCCCUGGUAAGUUUGUUCUGACCACCAGCUCUGAUCUUGUCUUGUUAGACUCCAAAGGAAGCACUCUUUGGACAACCAUGAACAACAUCACCACUGAAGCCACCGGAGCUGCUGCGAUACUGCUGGACUCUGGGAACUUGGUCAUCAGGUUGCCGAAUGGCACAGAUAUAUGGCAGAGCUUCCAUCACCCAACCGAUACCAUUCUCCCGAAUAUGAGUUUGCAGCUGAGCAACAACAACAACCUCUCCACGCACCUCGUUGCUUGGAGGGCCCCUGAUGACCCAUCUACGAGUGAUUACUCCUUGGGUGGUGACUCGAGCUUCCAGAUCCUCGUUUGGAAUAGGACGAUGCCAUACUGGCGCAGGGCUGCGCUCGAUGGUGUAUUGGUCUUCGCCAUGUAUCAGAGCAAAUCAGGUCCCAUCAUGUCCCAAACAAUUGUCAACAGAGGUGGUGAGUUCUACUUGACGUACACCGUCUCUGAUGGCUCAGCAAGCAUGCGUAUGAUUCUGCACUACACGGGCAUGGUGAAACUCCUGGCAUGGAACAGCAACUCAUUAUCUUGGGAUGUUUUCUUUGAGCGCCCUGGUUCUAGCUGUGACCGCUAUGCCUCUUGUGGCCCGUUUGGCUACUGUGAUGCCACAGAGGCGGUUGCGACAUGCAAGUGCCUUGAUGGAUUUGAAUCUGUUGGUCUUGACUUUUCCCUAGGAUGCCAGAGAAAGAAGGAGAUACGUUGUGGUCAAGGAGAUAGUUUCAUUACCUUGCUUAACAUGAAGACGCCUGACAAGUUCUUGUACAUCAGGAAUAGAAGCUUUGACCAAUGCGCAGAAGAAUGCAGCCGCAACUGCUCAUGCACCGCAUAUGCUUAUGCUAACCUGAGUAAUCUCGGUGUGACUGUAGACCAGUCGAGGUGCUUAGUUUGGAUGGGAGAGCUUGUUGACACAGAGAAGCGUGGUGAUGGUCUUGGAGAGAAUUUGUACCUCCGGAUUCCCAGCUCGUCUGUCAAUAAGAAGACUGGUGCACUGAAGAUUGCACUCCCAGUCAUGGCAAGUCUACUGAUAAUUAUGUGCAUUUGUCUUGUCUGGAUACGCAAGUCGAGAGGCAAGGACCAAACCAAGGCACCCAUGAAUUAUGCGGUGCCAGAACAACUGGGCAAUUCUGAUGUACUAUACGAUCAAAAUUCAGAAUUUCUGUGGAUUAGCUUCAAUGACAUCAUUGCUGCUACAGAUGGUUUCUCUGACUCUAAUGUGCUUGGAAAAGGAGGCUUUGGCAUAGUAUACAAGGGCACACUGGAAGGUGGCAAGGAAGUUGCUGUUAAAAGGCUUACCAAGUGUUCUGAUCAAGGAAUGGAGCAUUUUAGAAACGAAGUAGUUCUUAUUGCAAAACUGCAGCACAGAAACUUAGUUAGACUUCUUGGUUACUGCAUCCAUGGAGCUGAGAAGCUUCUUAUUUACGAAUACUUACCCAACAAAAGCUUAGACUACUCCCUAUUUGAUGAUGCUAAAAGAUCUAUGCUUGAUUGGCCAACAAGGUUUAGCAUAAUCAAAGGGAUAGCUAGAGGACUUGUGUACCUCCACCAUGAUUCGAGAAUGACGAUAAUUCACAGAGAUCUGAAAGCAAGCAACAUCUUGUUGGAUGAGGAGAUGAGACCCAAAAUAUCAGAUUUUGGCAUGGCAAGGAUCUUUGGUGACAACCAGCAACAAGCAGAUACUAGACAUGUUGUUGGAACAUACGGUUACAUGUCGCCCGAAUAUGCGAUGGAAGGCAUUUUCUCUGUCAAGUCCGACACAUACAGCUAUGGGGUCUUGCUACUGGAGAUUGUAAGUGGGUUGAAGGUCAACUCACCUCCCCAGCUUAUGAGGGACUUUCCAAACCUCGUAGAUUACGCAUGGAACUUACUGGAAGAAGGAAAAUCAGGGGAUUUCAUGGACACGGUGCUUCUGAAGAGUUGUUCACUGCAUCAAGUGUCGUUGUGCAUCCACAUAGCAUUGUUGUGCGUUCAGGACAGCCCGGGUGCCAGGCCACUCAUGUCGCUAGUCGUGUCUAUGCUGGACAACGAGGCCAUGCCAGUCACGACUCCAAAGCAACCUCUGUAUUUCAUUGGAAGGAGACAUGAAGCAGAAGAAGCGACGGAGGACUCUGUUAACAGCGCGGGCCUGACAUCGCUAGUAGGACGCUAG